rnacentral:hammerhead_ribozyme from 1 species
AUUCAGAUGACAAGUCCCAGAUAGGACGAAGUGCGCAUUCUGGAU